rnacentral:rRNA from 1 species
GUCUAUGGCCAUGCCACCCUGAACAAGCCUGAUCCUAUCUGAUCUCAGAAGCUAAGCAGGGUCAGGCCUGGUUAGUACUUGGAUGGGAGACCACCUAGGAAGACCAGGUGCUGUAGGUG